AGUUGCCAUGACGUGACUAGGUUUCUUUAAUUCUGUGCUUUCCCCAUGAUGUUCUGCCUCUGCACAAGCCCAAAAUCAAGGAAGCCAGAGGGCCAUGGACUGACACUCUGAAACUGUGAGCCAAAGGCCUGAUAGAGUGAGCCGCACAUCACUGGAGCUCUGUAAUUCUGGGAAUUGACUGAGCUCAGCUGUGUGGUUCCUGAUUCUACAUCCCCCUGGUUUCAGUUAGAUGGCAGCUGGGCAAGCAAGAGUCAUUUUAGAGGUUUCUCCCUACGUGUCCUGUGGCAAAUGUCAGCUAGUGGUUGAGACUGCAGCAGGGGUUACUAGAGGAGGCACCUAUCCAUAGCUUCUUCUGCUUAUUAACCUAUCUGAGCCUUCUUCCUGGCAGAGGAAGCACUUGGUACACAGCGAUGCUUACUGCAGGCCUCAGGGCCUCCCCUAGUUUUCUACUGUUUCAGGUGCUCCCACUUGAUUGGCGGCACGUGUGUGUGUGUGUGUGUGUGUGUGUGUGUGUGUGUGUGUGAACAGACUGAGCAAGCAUGGGGGCACCUGCUCCUCGCCUGGGCCACCUGUGGGACUUGACUUCACUGUCCUCACAGUGCACCCGCAGGCUGGUUUCCUGGUGGCUGGGGUGGGUGGGCAUGGCAGUGGCCCAUCCUGGCAGCUGGCUUGUGGCCAGAGACUCAGGUCUGCCAGUGUGGGCGCAGACACUCUCUCCCCAGAAAAGCUGCUUGAAGGCACAGAAGGGGAAGAGAAGAUUAAAAAUAAAGAGUGGUCGUGUUCAGUUUUGAAAUUAAAAGACAGCCGUGGACUCAAAGGCCCUUCCAUUCUUUUGCUUUGAGGGGGGCAGGGUGCCAAAAUGGGGAAAAACUUGGGGACAGUUGUGCAGCUUGCUUUCUGCAGAGUCCUAAUGCAAGGGAAUACCGCUCUGUACCUCAGGGAGCACAGCUGUGGUCUCACCUGAAACGUCAAUGUGCCGUAGUUCAGCAGGCUUUGUGAAGUAGUUGCUCUCAUGUCUACUUCGUUGCAUGUAGGGAUUUUGAAUUUGGAUCCUCCUUGCUUUGUAUUUUUCUUGUUCACAUCAAGCCAGUAGAAACUUACGUGAAUGGAGCCCACGUGUUGUAAGCAUGGAUCAGCUCUCAUCUCAGGUCCUAGUCUAGACCUGGACAAGGAAAAUAUCUUUACUCUGCAGAGAAAGCAACAGAGGAGUACAGGCACUAAAUGAUUACCCAACAUGAUGUGGUUUGCAAAAAAUGGCAGAGCUGUGUUCUCAAUCCGGGUACUACUAGUUUCACAUACGUAAGAUUCACGCGACAUAAAAUGCACUUCAAAUUGGUUUGAUUCAUGGGGAAAAAGAAAAAUGACAGGCAAUUGGUUCAAACAGCUGAAAAAUCCAGACACAUUUGAAAACACCUUUCAGCUCUGGUUGCAGUAUUUUCAGGCCAGAUCUACCCUGGUGCUGGCAAAGUGCUUCCAAUAUCUCCCACUCAAUAACCUAACCACUUACCUUCCCCAACCAAAGGGAGAACGUUCCAUUUUGACUUUUAGUAUAUGGUGAUAGACAUGGACCUAAUUUUAGGCUUUAGCAUGUAGAGAGUCAAUUUUUCCAGCACUAUUUACUAAAGAGGCUGUCUUUCUUGUAGAGAACAUGUUUGGCCCCUUUGUGGAAGAUAAGGCGGUUGAGUGUGUCAUUUAAUCUGUUCCACUGGUCCUCAGGUCUAAACAAGGUCUAAUAUGUACAAUAGAUACUGUGACACGGGAAGAAAAUGUUCCAAAGGGAAAAGGAACUAGGAUGAGUGAAAUAGGAAAAAACAAUUGGGAAAAGAGAAAAAUGCAAGUCAGUUAUACUAUUAGUGUCUCUUAGUUCAUUAAAAGAAAAAGUUGGUGCUAAUAUCAAUUGUAGAAAUUUUUAUGCCUAUAUCUUGUACCCUGAGCAACUACUUUAAAGAUAAUAAAAUGUAAUGUGUUGACAA